AGAAUCAACGCUGGCGGCGUGCCUAACACAUGCAAGUCGAACGAGAAAGUGGAGCAAUCCAUGAGUAAAGUGGCGCACGGGUGAGUAACACGUGACUAACCUACCUUUUAGUGGGGGAUAACCUAGGGAAACCUGGGCUAAUACCGCAUAAUACCUACGGGUCAAAGCAGCAAUGCGCUGGAAGAGGGGGUCGCGGUCGAUUAGUUAGUUGGCAGGGUAAUGGCCUACCAAGACUGUGAUCGAUAUCCGGCCUGAGAGGGCGCACGGACACACUGGAACUGAAACACGGUCCAGACUCCUACGGGAGGCAGCAGUGGGGAAUUUUGCGCAAUGGGGGAAACCCUGACGCAGCAACGCCGCGUGGAGGAUGAAGUCCCUUGGGACGUAAAACUCCUUUCGAUCGGGACGAUAAUGACGGUACCGGAAGAAGAAGCCCGGCUAACUUCGUGCCAGCAGCCGC
rnacentral:rRNA from 1 species